AUCUCGCUGAAUUGGUGUGCUCCUUCACACAAAAUGUCUUGCCAACCCCAGUGAGACCCAGCAGCCCCUAGCACUGUUUUUGGGUCUUGUGCCUAUCAAGUCUCUGGUCAGCACUGUCAGAGGAGCAGAAGAAGGAGAAUCUCCAUGUUGGUGGACUCUACGGUUGAGGAUUUGUUGCAGACUGGGAGACAUGCAUUCUGUUUGCAAGCUGACAAAGUCUGUUCUACAUUCUGCUCCCAGCUACGUGACCAGGUUGUCUCUGUGCUAGGAAAAGAAAGCCACAAAAAUCCGACUCAACAGCAGCAUGUAGGCUCCGUGCUCAAAGAGUUGAUAAAAACUUUUGGAUGUUAGGCUUAACACCUUCUUCACCCCAGCGGUUUCAUGCCAGCGAUAUUUCAAAGUGAUUCAAGAGCUCUUUUUUCCAGUGAACAGUGCUUAAAAGAUAGCAGGCUGCAAUGAGGAUUGUAACAGUGCUGUAACUAUUCUCAGGAAACUAUCAUUUGGGAAAGUCCUGGGAGAUAUCUUGGAGCUGAUUUGUGUUGUUCCCCAGUAAGGAGCAGAAGACACCUGCCAUUUAGUUAAAUGCCUUAUCUUGGCCUAUUUGGGAACCUCGUUUCAGAUGAAAGUGUCUAUGCUAAUCAAACAAAAUACUAUCAAAAGUGGUCCAGAUGAGAGUGAUAGCUUUAAAAAAAGCACUUUAAAAUGCUUGCGAUUUAUAGUUUUGUGUUAAAUCAGCUUAGCAUUCAUGAAAUAAAAGUGUUGACUACUUGCUGACAUUUUGUGUUUUUCUGAAGAUGAAGCUCAAAUACGAGGGCAGUAUGGGCCC
ensembl:lncRNA